CAAUUAUAGUAACAGAUUCAGUGGGCUAAUGCUAUUCACCGUCUCCACCUAAGCGAUCGGGCCAGGCUACGCCCUUCAAUUUACAUAUGACAGAAAAGAUGUCAACAAACAAACAAUGUUUCUCAAUGGAUUCGUUCCACCACUUAGGGUAUUAUUGUGUUUUCUUAAUUAAUCUCGUUUGCAAUGAAGGGGCUGAAUAAAAGCCGUAGGCUGCUGAUCUCAGUGAUAUCAACAAGCAUUUAGCAUCGCAGCGCACGCUUACAACCUGAGCGCUUGAUCCCUUUCCAGCUGUAAUCUUUCCGCACCCGGCGACAGUGAAUAAAUGCUCCAGAGAAAGCCGCUUACUUGAAAUGGGGAGGAGAUACAAUGUGCAAGCCACUGAAGGGAGAUCCAGGACUGCUGCUGUCAAGAAGCAUUUUCACACCUCAGGGAGCACAGGAGGGCAGCACAGGGCAGGAGAACAUCAGGCAGACCCUGCGUGCCUCACGUCAGAAGGCUGCACUCCAGGUCCGGCCAGCGCCAUCUGGGACACAUAGCACAUACGUCACACCACAGACUGCCACUAGCCGCAGGGAAGCUGAACUUGAGCGUCAUCCCAGCACAUAAUCCAGACAGGACAGACCAGUUAUACCAUUGCUGCUGUGGGCACCCGAGUCCUCCAUCGCUGGUGGUUCUACCUCCUCUUGAAUAGUAGGAACAGUGGCCAGCAAGCCUGGAAGAACGAAGGGAUGGACUUCAGCAACAAGAAACGUAUUCAUAGGGCAACAAAGUCAAAGGCUCCUGCCCCUACAUUAAUCAAAAAGUGUUUCGAUAAAACUUAAUUUAUGGAUAUAAAGCACAUUAUUAGCAUGAUAAGGGAAUGCCGCAAUAUAAAAAAGACUGUCAUCUUGAAAACACAGAUAAGUUAUAUUUUAAUAGAAUCCCUGCCCUUGUACCCAUAGCCUCUAGGAUAGGUUCUGGACUCCUGCGACCCUGCAUAAGACAAGCGGGUACUGAAAAUGGAUGGAUGAAAAACAAACUUAAAACAUCAUGUUAUCACUUACAGCCUACAAUUCCAUCCAGUCCUGACUGAAUGAUGUUCAACACUAACGAGGUUCAUACAUCACCGCUGAAUCUGACAUGGUCUGCCUGGGUGAACUAAGCUUUCAUAACUGUGGGCCACAGCUCCUUGAAUAUAAUCACAUUUUCAAUGGAUGAACAUGUCCAUUACUUCACUACAUGUUAUGUAAGUUUUUGCCAUGGAAAGGCUGGGUAAUAAGCAAGCUUCAAGUUGAAUCAGCUUCCAAGCACAAUAUGAAUCUAACAAGCUACUCUCCCAAAAUGACAAAUUCUACUGUUCACAGAAGGAUGAAAUUUAGGGGGGGGGGAGGUCACAUUCAUUUUUUUCCCCCAAACUGGGGCACACUGUUCCUGAUUAGCUACUGAAGCACUUCAAUUUGACUGCAGCCAUAAUGGAACCAAGCUGUUCUGCUAAUCAAACACCUACCUCUUUAGCUUUCCAUCUUAAUAAAGACCUGUUUCUACAUAAUGGCAUUAUGCAAGUCAAUCACGUCAUAUUAGAAUCAACCUUAUAUAAAGGUUGAACGCAUGGGACGGUGCCAGAAAAUAUUAUGUGCUGCACGCACGCUGUGAAAUGCUAUGUAAGCUCACAGAUGUGCAUGGUCACAAGUGGGCAGGUGGUGUCACUACAGGAUCUGAGUCGACUGUGGAUGUGAGUAGCGGCAUGCAUGAGUGGUGCAAACCAAAUACAAAAACAACUAAAAACCAACUAAAAAAUCAACUAAACUAAAAGCAAUCAAAACACAAAAAAAGUAUGUGCCCGGUUCCUGCAAGAGGCUUUGCCAGUAUCAAUAUAGAGGAUUAAAGAUAAUCAACCAUUUUAUGAAAAUUCACGCAAGUACAUGAGAUGGGCCUUAACUUUCUAGAAUUGGUAAGGGUGCAGCUUUGGCAGAUGGUCUAAAGUCCUUUAUAGAUUAAUACUCGAAAACUACCAUGGUUGACUCAGAUUGUGCAGUGCAUGCAAGACUCGCAUACAGAGUUGAUUCAGAUCCUGCAGUGACAGGUGGUACAGAUCGGGUAGUUACACCUUGGAUGUGUGCUAUGUUCACAAACAAAUAAACUGACUUCCUAAUAGACUGCUGUGCUGAUUCACCAAAUGAUAUCAUGUGUCUCUACCACAGGGUCUCUUUCCUGCAUGACGCAUUUGAAAAACAAUUCAACGUGAGCUAUUGGCAUGGCUGAUGAAGAGGUUUUGUAUGGAUAAGCUAGUGACACGUUAUUACUGGAGGUCAAAGUUUUAUGUGAAGAUUGGAUAUAUUAGUAGGAGGACAUAGAAGAUCAUAAUCUCUAUGAUUUGCAUAAAAAGUAGAUCAUGGAUGUCUUCAAUGUCAAUCACAAUAUAAAAUUAUCAGAUCACCCACCCCUUCCCUGGUCUAUAGUUAAUUACCCUCAAAGUUACUAACCAAACAUGAUGUAAAAUGACUUGUUACAGGGAUACUCAAAAGGAUGACCACAAAACUAUUCAACUAGAAUGGUCGGUUGUUGGAAUGACAGCAUUGUAUUCCCUGGACAACUGCAUCAUGCUGUCCAUCUAAUCCAUACUUAUCCCACACUUGCCAACCUGUACAAUUUAUGGAACAUACUGGGUGCAUCAACUGGAAAUGUGUAAAUCAGAAUCAAGUAUCAAAACUCAUUACUCAAUUUUGGGGAGACUUCAAAAUUUCACCAGCUUUACUGUAGUUCCUCUCCGAUACAAUGACUGUGAAAAGUCCAUAUAAUGCUUUUUGAGUUAUCAUCCUAACAAGCAAAGUAUCUGCAGCAGCUGAGGACCGGUACCAAAACCAUAUGUAUCCAGCAGACAUUUUGUGCUAGAAAAUCCGGCUUCUCAAAUAAUUGAGUGGAAUACUAAUCAUCACACAAAAGAAUGAUUUGAUGGCCUUAAUUUUUAUUAGAUCUGAGUAGGAGUGAAUGGGCACUAGAUUCCCACACCCAUUUAACAAUGAAGUCAAAUUUAUUUAUUAACUGCUAGAGGACCUUGGUGCAACAUCUCAUCUGAAGAACACAGCCUUCAGCUGUUAUAUGCUGGACCUUCAUUUGGUCUAGAGGGAACAGUAUUCCCUACUCACUGGACACAACUUCCAGCAGCAACUUUGAUGUUCCUAGAUGUGUCCUACUAAAAAAGUAGCCAAAUCCUACAGGUAUUUUAACGUAAA